GCUGGGCGUAGUGGUGCCUGCCUGUAAUCCCAGCAGCUCAGGAGGCUGAGACAGGAGGAUUGCAAGUUCAAAUCCAGCCUCAGCAACUUUAUGAGGCCCUACGCAAUUUAGUGAGACUCUGUCUCUA
rnacentral:sRNA from 1 species